UCGUGCUAGAUGGGGAGUUAGCGGUGCCCUGUACCUGCAAUCCGCUACAGCAGGGUCGAAUUCCGAAACCAGGUAUUUUUCUUUUGGUGUCGGCCAAGAAAAGUGGCGUUGAAGAUUGGGUCUUACGCGACAAAUCCCCAUAAACCCCGCCAGGUCCGGGAGGAAGCAACGGUACGUGGGGCUCUUUGGGUGCCGUGAGAGUGCCUGAUUUGAGUUAACUGUCUUGGAUACAGCCGGGAGGAAAUAUCGAAUUUCGGUGCACGG
rnacentral:SRP_RNA from 1 species